rnacentral:rRNA from 1 species
AUGCGGGUAUGGAAUUUCAUGAAUUGGAAUUGCAUCUUCACGGCAACGGUAGGGAUGAUUCUCCGACAACAUGAUGGUUCAGUUAUUCUUGCAGCAUAUCGGUUUAUUUUCAACUGUAACAAAGCACUCGAUGCGGAGAUACGUGCAAUUAUGCAAGGAAUGACGCUUGCUAUACAACAUUCCAGUCUUUCAGUCAUUGUCCAAUCUGACUCAAGUGAGGCUUUAUCCUAUCUAUCAGGGGACAGACUAGUUCGUUCGGUGUAUGGUCAUCUUGUGGCUGAAAUUAAGGAGUUGAUGUGUGUCAAGGAGUUUAUUCCCCAGAAGUUGACUAGGGAUCAGGAUAGAGUUGCCAAUCGUCUGAAAAAUUACAGUCGUAUCUAG